GGGUCUGAGAGGAUGAUCCCCCACACUGGUACUGUGACACGGACCAGACUCCUACGGGAGGCAGCAGUGAGGAAUAUUGGUCAAUGGACGCAAGUCUGAACCAGCCAUGCCGCGUGCAGGAUGAAUGCCCUAUGGGUUGUAAACUGCUUUUCUACAAGAAGAAACUUCCUGAUGUACCAGGAACUGACGGUAUUGUAGGAAUAAGCAUCGGCUAACUCCGUGCCAGCAGCCGCGGUAAUACGGAGGAUGCAAGCGUUAUCCGGAUUCAUUGGGUUUAAAGGGUGCGUAGGCGGGGUAGUAAGUCAGUGGUGAAAGCCUGCGGCUUAACCGUAGAAUUGCCAUUGAUACUGCUAUUCUUUGAGUGCAGUUGAGGUAGGCGGAAUGUGUAAUGUAGCGGUGAAAUGCUUAGAUAUUACACAGAACACCGAUUGCGUAGGCAGCUUACUAAACUGUAACUGACGCUGAGGCACGAAAGCGUGGGGAGCGAACAGGAUUAGAUACCCUGGUAGUCCACGCUGUAAACUAUGAUCACUCGCUGUUGGCGAUACAUUGUCAGCGGCUGAGCGAAAGCAUUAAGUGAUCCACCUGGGGAGUACGGCCGCAAGGUUGAAACUCAAAGGAAUUGACGGGGGCCCGCACAAGCGGUGGAACAUGUGGUUUAAUUCGAUGAUACGCGAGGAACCUUACCUGGGCUUAAAUGCAGAACGACGUACCGGGAAACUGGUACUCCCUUCGGGGCGGACUGCAAGGUGCUGCAUGGUUGUCGUCAGCUCGUGCCGUGAGGUGUCGGGUUAAGUCCCAUAACGAGCGCAACCCUCAUUGUUAGUUGCCAGCGAGUAAUGUCGGGGACUCUAACAAAACUGCCGGUGUAAACCGUGAGGAAGGUGGGGAUGACGUCAAAUCAGCACGGCCCUUAUGUCCAGGGCUACACACGUGUUACAAUGGCCAGUACAAAGGGCAGCUACCACGCGAGUGGAUGCUAAUCUCUAAAGCUGGUCUCAGUUCGGAUUGAAGUCUGCAACUCGACUUCAUGAAGCUGGAAUCGCUAGUAAUCGCGCAUCAGCCAUGGCGCGGUGAUACGUUCCCGGGCCUUGUACACACCGCCCGUCAAGCCAUGGAAGCUUGGGGUACCUGAAGUCCGUAACCGAAAGGAUCGGCCUAGGGUAAAACAA
rnacentral:rRNA from 1 species